rnacentral:tRNA from 1 species
UCCGGUGUAGCUCAGUUGGUAGAGCACCUGACUGUUAAUCAGGUUGUCACAGGUUCGAGCCCUGUCACCGGAGCCA